UACGGGAGGCAGCAGUGAGGAAUAUUGGUCAAUGGGCGAGAGCCUGAACCAGCCAAGUAGCGUGAAGGAUGACUGCUCUAUGGGUUGUAAACUUCUUUUAUAAAGGAAUAAAGUCGGGUAUGGAUACCCGUUUGCAUGUACUUUAUGAAUAAGGAUCGGCUAACUCCGUGCCAGCAGCCGCGGUAAUACGGAGGAUCCGAGCGUUAUCCGGAUUUAUUGGGUUUAAAGGGAGCGUAGAUGGAUGUUUAAGUCAGUUGUGAAAGUUUGCGGCUCAACCGUAAAAUUGCAGUUGAUACUGGAUAUCUUGAGUGCAGUUGAGGCAGGCGGAAUUCGUGGUGUAGCGGUGAAAUGCUUAGAUAUCACGAAGAACUCCGAUUGCGAAGGCAGCCUGCUAAGCUGCAACUGACAUUGAGGCUCGAAAGUGUGGGUAUCAAACAGGAUUAGAUACCCUGGUAGUCCACACGGUAAACGAUGAAUACUCGCUGUUUGCGAUAUACAGCAAGCGGCCAAGCGAAAGCGUUAAGUAUUCCACCUGGGGAGUACGCCGGCA
rnacentral:rRNA from 1 species